rnacentral:rRNA from 1 species
ACGUAGGGUGCAAGCGUUAAUCGGAAUUACUGGGCGUAAAGGGCGCGUAGGCGGCCUGCUAAGUCGAACGUGAAAUCCCCGGGCUCAACCCGGGAACUGCGUCCGAUACUGGUUGGCUCGAAUUCGGGAGAGGGGGGUGGAAUUCCACGUGUAGCAGUGAAAUGCGUAGAGAUGUGGAGGAACACCGAUGGCGAAGGCAGCCCCCUGGGCCGAUACUGACGCUCAUGCACGAAAGCGUGGGGAGCAAACAGGA